GCAACAGCUAGAGUUUGAUCCUGGCUCAGGAUGAACGCUGGCGGCGUGCUUAACACAUGCAAGUCGAACGAAGAGAGAUUAGCUUGCUAAUUGAACUUAGUGGCGGACGGGUGAGUAACGUGUGGGCAACCUACCUUAUACAGGGGAAUAAUCACUGGAAACGGUGACUAAUACCGCAUAAUAUUGCGAUAAGGCAUCUUAUUGCAAAGAAAGGAGCAAUCCGGUAAAAGAUGGGCCCGCAUCUGAUUAGCUAGUUGGUGAGAUAACAGCCCACCAAGGCAACGAUCAGUAGCCGACCUGAGAGGGUGAUCGGCCACAUUGGGACUGAGACACGGCCCAAACUCCUACGGGAGGCAGCAGUGGGGAAUAUUGCACAAUGGGGGAAACCCUGAUGCAGCAACGCCGCGUGAAGGAAGAAGGUUUUCGGAUCGUAAACUUCUAUCAAUAGGGACGAAGGAAAUGACGGUACCUAAAUAAGAAGCCCCGGCUAACUACGUGCC
rnacentral:rRNA from 1 species